UACGGAGGGAGCAAGCGUUACUCGGAAUUAUUGGGCGUAAAGGGCGCGUAGGCGAUCCUGUAAGUCUCGUGUGAAAUCCCAGGGCUUAACCCCUGGAAUGGCAAGAGAAAACUGCGGGAAUUGAGUCCCGGAGAGGAAGGCAGAAUUCCCGGUGUAGCGGUGAAAUGCGUAGAUAUCGGGAGGAAUACCAGUGGCGAAGGCGGCCUUCUGGACGGAUACUGACGCUGAGGCGCGAAAGCGUGGGGAGCAAACAGG
rnacentral:rRNA from 1 species